rnacentral:rRNA from 1 species
CCUACGGGUGGCAGCAGUGGGGAAUAUUGGACAAUGGGCGAAAGCCUGAUCCAGCCAUGCCGCGUGUGUGAAGAAGGCCUUCGGGUUGUAAAGCACUUUCAGUGGGGAAGAAAGCCUUGGGGCUAAUACCCUCGAGGAAGGACAUCACCCACAGAAGAAGCACCGGCUAACUCCGUGCCAGCAGCCGCGGUAAUACGGAGGGUGCGCGCGUUAAUCGGAAUUACUGGGCGUAAAGCGCGCGUAGGCGGUCUGAUAAGCCGGUGUGAAAGCCCCGGGCUCAACCUGGGAACGGCAUCCGGAACUGUCUGGCUAGAGUGCAGGAGAGGAAGGUAGAAUUCCCGGUGUAGCGGUGAAAUGCGUAGAGAUCGGGAGGAAUACCAGUGGCGAAGGCGGGCUUCUGGCCUGACACUGACGCUGAGGUGCGAAAGCGUGGGUAGCAAACAGGAUUAGAUACCCCGGUAGUC